rnacentral:rRNA from 1 species
UACGUAGGGGGCAAGCGUUGUCCGGAAUCAUUGGGCGUAAAGCGCGUGUAGGCGGUCCGGUAAGUCCGCUGUGAAAGUCGGGGGCUCAACCCUCGAAAGCCGGUGGAUACUGUCGGGCUAGAGUGCGGAAGAGGCGAGUGGAAUUCCUGGUGUAGCGGUGAAAUGCGCAGAUAUCAGGAGGAACACCGAUUGCGAAGGCAGCUCGCUGGGACGUAACUGACGCUGAGACGCGAAAGCGUGGGGAGCAAACAGG